rnacentral:rRNA from 1 species
GACGAACGCUGGCGGCGUGCUUAACACAUGCAAGUCGAACGAAGAGCGAUGGAAGCUUGCUUCUAUCAAUCUUAGUGGCGAACGGGUGAGUAACGCGUAAUCAACCUGCCCUUCAGAGGGGGACAACAGUUGGAAACGACUGCUAAUACCGCAUACGAUCUAAUCUCGGCAUCGAGGAUAGAUGAAAGGUGGCCUCUACAUGUAAGCUAUCACUGAAGGAGGGGAUUGCGUCUGAUUAGCUAGUUGGAGGGGUAACGGCCCACCAAGGCGAUGAUCAGUAGCCGGUCUGAGAGGAUGCACGGCCACAUUGGGACUGAGACACGGCCCAGACUCCUACGGGAGGCAGCAGUGGGGAAUCUUCCGCAAUAGACGAAAGUCUGACGGAGCAACGCCGCGUGAGUGAUGACGGCCUUCGGGUUGUAAAGCUCUGUUAAUCGGGACGAAAGGCCUUCUUGCGAAUAGUGAGAAGGAUUGACGGUACCGGAAGAGAAAGCCACGGCUAACUACGUG